GACAGAUAAGGCAACACAUCGUUUUGAUAUGCUAAUGAAGGGAUAAUGAGUUAUGACGUCAUAAUAUACGCCCCGCCUCUGUAUUACCAUAUAUAGAAUAUAUACCGAAAACAGCAGUUUAAGCAUAAAAUACGGCUGAUUUAAUACUUCAUAAGCAAAAUAUAACUACGAAUCACUCAUGUGUGUUUUUAAAAGUUUACAACAAUCAGAAUAUACGAAAAAUUUCCAUAACGCAUCUGUCGUAUGGGUGUGAAUCUGCGUCCCAAAAGCGCUCGUCAGACGAUGUAAACACGUGUAGCUGGUAUUCCCGAUGAUGGCGAUCUUUUGAUGAUUUAUCAGAGUAAUUUGAAAAGUGUCACACUGAUUUGAAAAAAAAGGCUGGAAGAAAAUCUGGUACCUGCUUUGUCUUGAGAUUUACAUAAAUGAUGUUCUUAUUGGUGAUCAUCUACCCGCACCCUUAUCCUGGUGUCAUAUACAAGAUGAAAUGAUGGAAAGAAAAACCUGAACUUUAGAAACAGGAAGACUGUGUUUUUGAAGAGAGAAGAGGACAAGAACUAAGAAGUCAUACAAUAAACACAUUGACAUCAUAAAAAGAAAUUGCAAUUUUGAGUUUGCAUGCACAUGUCAGGUUUAAAUGUUGUCACAGAUUUUUUUUUCAGAAAGUCCCUUUAUCUUCUUGAAUUAAUAAAACAAAUGAACCAAAUAUAAUUGUUUCUAUAUAUAUAAUUUUGUUUGAGAAGUGGAAAGGGGAUGGUAUGUAAAUGGGCAGGAGAGAGAGUCUCUCACAUAGGAGAAUUCAGACUUAUUUUAAUUCAAUAUAUUGAUGUGAAUCAAAAAUGGCUUUUGAUCGCCUUGUUGCAGGAUUUACACACUCUCUUUCCUUUCUCGGUAAUGAGAAAUGAGCGUUUAGAAUUUAUUUUGUGAAUGAAUAGAUAUGCUAACCCUCCCCCUCUCCUUAAUCUUAAUCAUUCUGCAUGUGUUGAAUAAAAAUAAAAGUCAAUUUUAAUGAGUGUUUAAAUUACAAGUGUAACGU